GAAGCUACGCUUUGCACAGUGGCCAUCUCUGUCAAAUGGAAACAAAGAAGAAACAGAGGAGAGAGAGAGAGAUCAGUGGGCCGAGAGUCUGGGAGGAAGGGAUAGAUCGAGAGAGAGAGCUCGAAGGGCCAAUCGGCCAUGGCAGCCGCUGCCAUGGCCGACGAGGAGCAGCAGCGGCCAUGGGUGAGCGAAGCAGCAGGGCAGCGGGCCAAUAGGUGCGGUGGCGCGCGGUGAUGCACGGAGACAGGGACGGUGGUCGAUCGAUGGCGGGCCGGGGGCUGUGGCGGCGGCUAAACCAGCUAGUAGAGGCGAGCGGACUGGCUGCGCGAAGGGGAGGCUGCGGCUGUUCGCGACGUUGGCGGCUGUCGGCGGUAGCGUGGCUAACGGUGGUGGAGCUGGUAGCGGGGGUGGCUGGCAAGGGCGGCGCUGGCUGAGGCGGUGGCUGGCAGAAGCUGGGCAUGGGCGAGGGUUUGCAGGAAGAAGAAGCCGCGAAGAAGAAGAAGAAGAAGAAGAAGAAGAAGAAGAAGAAAGAAAAGGAAGAAAAGAAAAAAAAAAGAAAAAAAUGAAAAAAUGAAAAAAUAAGAGGAUUCCGGGGUUGUUUUAGCGUGAAAAGUGAGCAGGUAGUGGCAGCGGGGGUCCGGACAAGGGAGUCAGCUUUUAGCGGCAGAGUCGGUAUGGUGUAUAGGCAGUCCCUGUCAAUUCUGAGAGUUCAGUAGGAUUUACUUUAUUAUUUUUACUGUGCCAAGUCGUUUCUCGAGUCUCGUGUAUAUUGGCACAGGAGUCUGUGUUUAUUAAUCUAUCGUGAGACCGCUGUGAUAGCGGGGUACUCGUAGUGCAUGCAUGUGUUUAGCUUC